rnacentral:rRNA from 1 species
UCAUCAAGCUUGCUUUGAUGGAUGGCGACCGGCGCACGGGUGAGUAACACGUAUCCCCCCUGCCGACAACACUGGGAUAGCCUUUCGAAAGAAAGAUUCCUACCGGAUGGCAUAAUUAUUCCGCAUGGGAUAAUUAUUAAAGAAUUUCGGUUGUCGAUGGGGAUGCGUUCCAUUAGGCAGUUGGCGGGGUAACGGCCCACCAAACCAACGAUGGAUAGGGGUUCUGAGAGGAAGGUCCCCCACAUUGGAACUGAGACACGGUCCAAACUCCUACGGGAGGCAGCAGUGAGGAAUAUUGGUCAAUGGACGAGAGUCUGAACCAGCCAAGUAGCGUGAAGGAUGACUGCCCUAUGGGUUGUAAACUUCUUUUAUACGGGAAUAAAGUUAGCCACGUGUGGCUUUUUGUAUGUACCGUAUGAAUAAGGAUCGGCUAACUCCGUGCCAGCAGCCGCGGUAAUACGGAGGAUCCGAGCGUUAUCCGGAUUUAUUGGGUUUAAAGGGAGCGUAGAUGGAUGUUUAAGUCAGUUGUGAAAGUUUGCGGCUCAACCGUAAAAUUGCAGUUGAUACUGGAUAUCUUGAGUGCAGUUGAGGCAGGCGGAAUUCGUGGUGUAGCGGUGAAAUGCUUAGAUAUCACGAAGAACUCCGAUUG